UUAAACAACAUAUUAUGAUAUUAAUGCGUUAUAUUUUAGAAUUUCAGAUUUUAAAAAACUCAAAUAUCGAUACAUUAUAAUUUAGGUCAAUAUAAUUAUUCAUAAAAAAUUGCAUAGUUUCUUGUUUUAGUGUUUAACACAUAUAUUUAAUUUUGAAAAUGAUGUAUAAAAUAAGUAUAAAUUAUUCUACUUGUGUGUUAUUUGGUGUAGUAUACAUAGUCACCUUGAGAAGGCUACUAUGUUAAACAAAUGCAUUGAGUAGCUAAGUAAUAUGUAUAAGUAUAUGUCAUUUUAAAUCAAAUACAUCCAUUUGGAGUGUUUCAUCCCAUCCUAUAAUGUUCAAAGCAAACAUAGCUCUUUUCCCAUGUAUCCACCUAAUAGGUUAUAUGUUUCUAGCAAAAGUAGCUCUACGUUAUUUUCAAAAUUUGUUUUUUUUCCCAUAAAUUUAACACAUAUUUGUCCAUAAAAACUGUCAUUUUCUUUAUUUCUUUUUUUCAUUGUAAGUUUUUUUUAAACAACAUAUUAUGAUAUUAAUGCGUUAUAUUUUAGAAUUUCAGAUUUUAAAAAACUCAAAUAUCGAUACAUUAUAAUUUUGGUCAAUAUAAUUAUUCAUAAAAAAUUGCAUAGUUUCUUGUUUUAGUGUUUAACACAUAUAUUUAAUUUUGAAAAUGAUGUAUAAAAUAAGUAUAAAUUAUUCUACUUGUGUGUUAUUUGGUGUAGUAUACAUAGUCACCUUGAGAAGGCUACUAUGUUAAACAAAUGCAUUGAGUAGCUAAGUAAUAUGUAUAAGUAUAUGUCAUUUUAAAUCAAAUACAUACAUUA
rnacentral:lncRNA from 1 species